rnacentral:rRNA from 1 species
ACCUGCCCACUGAAAAAUUUUAAAUGGCCGCAGUAUCUUAACUGUGCAAAGGUAGCAUAAUCAUUAGUCUUUUAAUUGAAGGCUGGUAUGAAUGGUUGGACGAGGUAUUAACUGUUUCAAUUAAAUUUGUUAUAGAAUUUUAUUAUUUAGUCAAAAAGCUAAAAUUUUAUUAAAAGACGAGAAGACCCUAUAAAUCUUUACUUAAUUAUUUAUUUUAAUUAUAAAGAUUUAUUUAAUUAUAAUAAAUAAUUAAGUUUUAUUGGGGUGAUAUUAAAAUUUAAAAAACUUUUAAUUUGUUUUUACAUAAAUUAAUGAAUUAUUGAUCCAUAAAUUGUGAUUAAAAAUUUAAGUUACUUUAGGGAUAACAGCGUAAUUUUUUUGGAGAGUUCAUAUCGAUAAAAAAGAUUGCGACCUCGAUGUUGGAUUAAGAAAAAUUUUAGGUGUAGUAGCUUGAAAA